GGUCAGGAGGGCGGGGCCUGAGGGGUCGGAAGGAGCGGGGCCGCAGGGAGCCCCGCGGGCCUCCGUGGCGGGCCGGUGGCGGCGCGGUGCGGAAGGGGUGCUGUCGCUGCGCGGUCGUGGACGUCUGUGCGUGAGCGCGGCUAGCUGCCCAGGGCUGCGCGGUGAGGCCGUCCGGGCCGGACGUGGCGCUGGCGUCAAGGUCCCAGGGCGUGAGGAGUGAGGACGGGCGCCCUUCCGUGCCUGGCCCGCCCCCCCGUCCAGUCCGAGAUCGUGGGAACGGCCGUGAGCGUUUGCCUCCCGCGGGUUCACGCCCGCCGCCUCCCAGAGCGGUGACCGGGGCGCCGAGCUCUGCCGCGGCGAUACCUGAGCGUAUAAAUUAUCCCCCACGCCGACCCCUUUGCAGAUGCCGACACGCCAUCCGUAGCCUCCAAAAUUUUGAAGCUGGAGGUGUAAUUACCAGCCUGGCUCUUUUAAAAAUGUAUUCGUUUUUAUUAAAAAUAGCUCAUUCUCUGCGGUUCUCCCAUUGUCCUGAAUUGCCUCUAAACCCCGUGUCUGUGGCUCAGGUGGGAUGUGUCAGUGGGAUUGGGGCUCUGCGGACCAGCAGGAAGAGCGGCCGUCCGGGGAGUUGACUGCAUUGCCGCGAGAACUGCAGUGGAAACAGGGGCCCCCACAGGUCCUUACCCAGCGGUUGACGAUGACAGCCCUGAUUUAAGCCGCGUCCUCACUCGGUGGUUGCCCGCUAGAGCACAGGCUCCGUGACGGGGGUGGGUCUGGAGAAUCUCGCAGCAUCAGCCACUUGCAGCAGAGACUAGUCCUUUCUAAAAGGCAAUUUUGUUUAGGAUCCACAUUGACUUUCUUGAAAUGUUUGGGUUAAAGUCAGCUGUCUACCCUCAACAGGCCUUCAUGACUUUUAAUCUUUCAUGUCUGCCAGCAAUGAGCAAGUGAAAUUUGAAAUUGAAAACACAAUACCAUGUAUAUUAGCACCCAAAUAAAGUAUAUAAG